rnacentral:misc_RNA from 1 species
AAUUAUAAAUAAAAUCAAUAUCUAUUCACUGAUCAACUAGAAUUUACUCCAGCGGCCGGGCAAAAAAAGAAAGCUGACUCUGAUUACUUAAACAAUUAUAUUAAUGACUUUAUUAGCACAAAUACAAAAUAAGAAUUUAAAAAAUCAAAAGAUAUCCUAAUUUAUGUUGAAAAUCUAGCAGAGUUUUUCCAGUAUUUAGGCUCUACUCAACCUAGAAAGUAGCUCAAACAACACUUCUAUAUACAAAGGCCUCAGGUCCAUAUCUCAACAACAUUACAUAGCCCCUUCUAGGCCUAUUAAACUAAACAGAACUCAAGUAAUCAGACAAUUCACUUAUAAAGCUUAAAAUUAACAUUUUUCAACAAUUAUCAAAACCAACUUCAAAAAUUUUAUAAACGUGCCCUGUAGUCCUUAACGAUGCUAUUAAACUAUUACAAAAAAAAAUCAUAAUUUUUUAGCUACCCACGAAUAUUUUAUGAAUUUUAU